UCUGUAUGUUCAUCUUGCUGAGGGAUCAUUACCGAGUUUACAACUCCCAAACCCCAUUGUGAACGUUACCAAACUGUUGCCUCGGCGGGAUUUCUGCCCCGGGCGCGUCGCAGCCCCGGACCAAGGCGCCCGCCGGAGGACCAAUUUACAAACUCUUUUGUAUAUCCCAUCGCGGAUUCUUUACAUUCUGAGCUUUCUCGGCGCUCCUAGCGAGCGUUUCGAAAAUGAAUCAAAACUUUCAACAACGGAUCUCUUGGUUCUGGCAUCGAUGAAGAACGCAGCGAAAUGCGAUAAGUAAUGUGAAUUGCAGAAUUCAGUGAAUCAUCGAAUCUUUGAACGCACAUUGCGCCCGCCAGUAUUCUGGCGGGCAUGCCUGUCCGAGCGUCAUUUCAACCCUCGAACCCCUCCGGGGGGUCGGCGUUGGGGAUCGGCACUUACCUGCCGGCCCCGAAAUACAGUGGCGGUCUCGCCGCAGCCUCUCCUGCGCAGUAGUUUGCACACUCGCACCGGGAGCGCGGCGCGUCCACGGCCGUAAAACAACCCAAACUUCUGAAAUGUUGACCUCGGAUCAGGUAGGAAUACCCGCUGAACU
rnacentral:rRNA from 1 species